GACCUAAACUAAACCAAUAUGGUUUCUACAAAAUCUUUUCUUAUUUGGGUUACCCUCAUUCUUUGUGUCUUUUCAACACCAAUGAAACUAGCUGGUGCUUCUCAGCUUCAUUCAAGGUCGUAUGAAAUGACUUGGAGUAGAUGUAGAAGGCUACUUGGCCUAGGAGCAUCAAAGAGCGAUAAGCCACAUGAUGAGCCUUGUUGCGGCAAUUACUAAAUUUCAACCAUUCCAUGGAUGCUUCGUUUCUUUUGUCAGAAAGAAAAACAAAGAAUAAUGGGUUUAUUGGUUUUUCUUAGUUGUAAUCGAAUUUAAUUUUGCAUUAGAUCAGUUUGUAUCAUAUUAUAAGACUGGUUCUUCUUUGUAUAAUAGUUAUAGAACCUAGUCGUACUCCAUGUAAUAUAUUUAUUUUGGGCUAAAUAUGCUUAUAAGUUUUUUACUAUUGCUUCAUUUUAAA